AUUUGUUCUAUGGAGUGAGGAGAAGAGGUAAAAUAGGGGAACCCAUUACAGGAUGAAGUCCUGAAGACGGUUGUCCGAAAAGUUGGUAUCUACCUCAAGCCAACACGGAGUUGAAACCAGAAGACCAACGUUGCAUCCAGCUCUUACAAAACCAUGGUAUAACACGUCUGACCAAGGAGGGCUCUCAUGAAUGUUUACAUCAUUGGAAGACCCUAGAAGUAAGCAGAUGAGGCGAGGGAGAGGUCGCAUGUGCCUUGGUGUAUAACUGUAUAGCUGACGUCGCCAGUCAACAAGGGAGAGUUUUCGAAGUUAGCCACCGGCACUCCUUGGUCGAACGGAAUAUAACAUUAUAAUUGCAUUAUAAACAACGUAAAUGUGAUGCAUGGUUAAGUCCUUUUCAACAAUCAAUUAUCGAUAAGAAAGUUAAUUCUGAUAAUCACAAUUACUCGUAUUGCUUUCAACAGUUAACACAGUCUUUUUAUAAGCUCACUUU